GAAGCCUUCCAGAUGAUGAAGCUCAGAGAAGGAAGAUGUCCUUCCUAGGGGCACACCGCAGAGCACACAGAUUCCAGCCAGGGUCCUUGCGUCUCCAGCAGGAGCGCUCUUCUACCACACCCAGCUGCCCGCACUGGGGGCUUCCCUGUGUGUGUGGUGUGUGCACUUCUUCCACCUGAGACGGAUCCACCCAUACAGAAGUGUUGGGGACAGCACGCACGGCCUUUCCUGGAUCAGUCUGUGUUGGGACGACUCAAGGGAACUCAGUGCUGAUGCUCCAGGGCUUACUGUCUGCUGACAUGUUGUCAGGAUCAGGAAGGGAGGCGUUUUGGCAUCAAGAAUAUUUUUCAUAUCCCCUAACAGGUGCUGUGGUGACUCCUACUCCUCUGGUCCUGAUGCAACUUGAAAUGUGGCUCAAAGGAAAGAAGAAACACCGCCUUUGGCACUUGGUGUCUGAAAACGUCUUUCCUGUUGUAUCCAGAGCCCGAUGAGUCAAAUCCUAGUGAGUUUUCUCUAUAAUGUCUUUCGAAGCUCUCUGCACUUUUCUGAAUUAUAUUUAAAAAUGAUCAGAAUUGUUUUGGGGUAUGCUCCUUGGAAGAAAAGCUAUGACCAACCUGGACAGCAUAUUGAAAAGCAGAGACAUUACUUUGCCAACAAAGGUCCAUCUUAGUCAAGGCUAUGGUUUUUCCAGUGGUCAUGUAUGGAUGUGAGAGUUGGACUGUGAAGAAAGCUGAGUGCUGAAGAAUUGAUGCUUUUGAACUGUGGUGUUGGAGAAGACUCUUGAGAGUCCCUUGGAAUGCAAGGAGGUCCAACCUGUCCAUCCUAAAGGAGAUCAGUCCUGAGUGUUCAUUGGACGGACUGAUGCUGAAGCUGAAACUCCAAUGCUUUGGUCACCUGAUGCGAACAGCUGACUCAUUUGAAAAGACCCUGAUGCUGGGAGGGAUUG
rnacentral:lncRNA from 1 species